CGUCAUGCCUCCCCCUGGUGGCCUCUGAAGCUCACGCAAGUUUGCACGAAGAGACACUCAGGGUGAAAUACAGCCUGUUAUAGUUUCUGAAACGACUCUCCACACAAAAAGAAACCCAAUACAGCACAUCGUUCUACCUGCUCUGUGGCUUCUGCUUCUCAAGCAACUUAAAAUGGUUAUCUCACUUCGUCUCCCAGGCUGGAGUGCCGUGGUGUGAUCUCAGCUCACUGCAACCUCCGCCUCCCUGAUUCAAGUAAUUCUUCUGCCUCAGCCUCCCAAGUACUGAGAUUACAGGAUCCUCUCUCUGGGAGCCCUCCUCUACCUCCAGCUGCAAUCAUCACCACAGGAGUGAGAGAGAGACUUGGACCUGAGCUGGACCCUCCAGCCCCCCCUCGCUGAACUACCAUCCAACCUUACGUUCCUACUGAUGUUUACUAGGUUAUUCAAUACAUAUUGUAUGUUCUGUGGCAGUGGCCACCAGUCAUUUUCAAAUAUGACGGUUUCCCUUCUUCCUUACCAAAAACACCCAUGGUUUUUAGCUGGACACCUGGUUGCCCAAAAUAAACACUACAUUUGCCGCAUCUCUUGCA